rnacentral:rRNA from 1 species
UCCAGACUCCUACGGGAGGCAGCAGUGAGGAAUAUUGGUCAAUGGGAGAGAUCCUGAACCAGCCAAGCCGCGUGAGGGAAGACGGCCCUAUGGGUUGUAAACCUCUUUUGUCGGAGAACAAAACCCGGGACGUGUCCCGGACUGCGUGUAUCCGAAGAAAAAGCAUCGGCUAACUCCGUGCCAGCAGCCGCGGUAAUACGGAGGAUGCGAGCGUUAUCCGGAUUUAUUGGGUUUAAAGGGUGCGUAGGCGGUCCGUUAAGUCAGCGGUAAAAUCGAGAGGCUCAACCUCUUUCCGCCGUUGAAACUGUCGGUCUUGAGUGGGCGAGAAGUAUGCGGAAUGCGUGGUGUAGCGGUGAAAUGCAUAGAUAUCACGCAGAACUCCGAUUGCGAAGGCAGCAUACCGGCGCCCGACUGACGCUGAGGCACGAAAGCGUGGGUAUCGCACAGGAUUAGAUACCCGUGUAU